rnacentral:lncRNA from 1 species
CCCCUCUUCAGUCCAGGCCCGGCUUCCGCCCGGUCUGCCGGCAACGCUGCGGCCCCGCCCACGUCAUGGCGCCCGAGGAGAACGCAGGGACCGAACUCUUGCUGCAGAGUUUCGAGCGCCGCUUCCUGGCGGCGCGCACACUGCGCUCCUUCCCCUGGCAGAGCUUAGAAGCAAAGUUAAGAGACUCAUCAGAUUCCGAGCUGCUGCGGGAUAUUUUGCACAAGACUGUGAAGCAUCCUGUGUGUGUGAAGCACCCGCCGUCCGUCAAAUAUGCCCGGUGCUUUCUCUCAGAACUCAUCAAAAAGGUCAGUUAUG